UACGGAGGGUGCAAGCGUUAUCCGGAUUCACUGGGUUUAAAGGGUGCGUAGGCGGGUUGGUAAGUCCGUGGUGAAAUCUCCGAGCUUAACUCGGAAACUGCCGUGGAUACUAUCAGUCUUGAAUAUCGUGGAGGUAAGCGGAAUAUGUCAUGUAGCGGUGAAAUGCUUAGAUAUGACAUAGAACACCAAUUGCGUAGGCAGCUUACUACACGAUCAUUGACGCUGAGGCACGAAAGCGUGGGGAGCAAACAGG
rnacentral:rRNA from 1 species